ensembl:lncRNA
GGAGGAGGCUCAUGAUGACCAUCCACUUGCUUUACGCAUUCGCGAACUUCAGCGAGAGGCAGUAUGAAGCGGCUAGGGAACACGUCGGAAAACACAGACAGAUGAAACUUGGGCUUCUUGAUUUUCAGAAAGAACAGUGGGUGAAACACGGCAAGGCACCGCCCAUCCUGUUCAGUGCCAUCAACCAAUCACGACCUUCCGUUGCGGCUGCGCCAAAGAGAGGCCAUAAUGUUGAGGUUGUUGAGGUUCCCCAGAUUGGUCGUAUCCAUAAGUGUCAUCCUCCUACAGUCUCUCUCUAUCCUCCCUACCUCUCUCUCUCUCCCAGGAGACUGUCUUUAUUAAGCAUUGGCCCCUGUGAGACGGUGCCAUAUGGAGUAAGGGUCCAGUUUGGCAUACAGCUUGGCUUCUGGGGGCCAACAGAGAGAUAGAGAGCUCUGCUACGGAGGAUAGGGAAGAGCUGUGGCUUUGCUACUUGGAGUCAGUUGGCGUGCUCGACUCGAUAGUUUGUAAUCAACAGUCAUUGAGUCCAGUGUUAACUAGACAUAUAGAUUGGAAACGGAAAACACACACUCACUGAAAUAGUUUGUUCUAUUGAGGGACUGAGACUGAAGGAGAGUGGAGGAGGACCAGUGAAAUAGUUUGUUCUACUGAGGGACUGAGACUGAAGGAGAGUGGAGGAGGACCAGUGAAAUAGUUUGUUCUACUGAGGGACUGAGACUGAAGGAGAGUGGAGGAGGACCAGUGAAAUAGUUUGUUCUACUGAGGGACUGAGACUGAAGGAGAGUGGAGGAGGACCAGUGAAAUAGUUUGUUCUACUGAGGGACUGAGACUGAAGGAGAGUGGAGGAGGACCAGUGAAAUAGUUUGUUCUACUGAGGGACUGAGACUGAAGGAGAGUGGAGGAGGACCAGUGAAAUAGUUUGUUCUACUGAGGGAUUGAGACUGAAGGAGAGUGGAGGAGGACCCCUGAAAUAGUUUGUUCUACUGAGGGAUUGAGACUGAAGGAGAGUGGAGGAGGACCAGUGAAAUAGUUUGUUCUACUGAGGGAUUGAGACUGAAGGAGAGUGGAGGAGGACCAGUGAAAUAGUUUGUUCUACUGAGGGAUUGAGACUGAAGGAGAGUGGAGGAGGACCAGUGAAAUAGUUUGUUCUACUGAGGGAUUGAGACUGAAGGAGAAGAGUGGAGGAGGACCAGUGAAAUAGUUUGUUCUACUGAGGGACUGAGACUGAAGGAGAGUGGAGGAGGACCAGUAGAGGAACGUAUCAUCUCUGUUGAGAUCCAAAUCUCUUCUCCACUUUGACCCCACCUUCCAUGGCGAUGAUUGCUAACUCCACGGGGAUGACCUCCAAUGACCUCCCCCUGAACUCAACAUCGACUCUUAGUCCGGAACCUUGGACCCCGCCUCCUUGGUACCAAUUCCACGUCUGCUCCGUGGCCCCUUACGGAUUCAUCUUCUACUUUGGAGUCAAAGUCUUCAACCUGGCCAUAGGCACACCCUGCAAUAUACUGGUCCUGUGGCAGAUCUCCAGCAGGAAAAGUGACUCGUCCACGUCUGACAUCUUCAUCUUUAAUCUGGCUUUAAUGGACACCUACUUCUGCCUCAUGGGGCCCAUAGACAUGGUCAACAGGCUGGUCCUGGACCACCAAGGCAUCUGGUACUUCCAACGCUUUGCCUACGGGGUCAAAGACACAGGACCCCUCUUCCUGGUGUGUAUCUGUCUGGACCGCUACGUGGCCGUGGUCCAUCCGGUGCUGUUCACCGGUAUCCGUGACAACAAGAUCCGCAUUGGUGUCUCCGUGGUAACCUGGGCCCUCAUCCUGGCCUACAGCCUCACAAAGAGCAUCCUGGGAGUCAUGUCUGUCAACGAGGUGUUCAGCGGCCUCAUCCUCUUCGCCUUCGCCCUCAUGAUCUACUGUAACCUCUCCAUCAUAUGGGUCCUACGCCGCUCCGUAGCCGGGAAGGAGGUGAUGCACCCCGUGAAGAAGAAGGCCUUCAAAAUGGUGCUGGUCAUCUUGGGUAUAAUCUUCGUCAACUACCUUCCUCCUGUGGCUCUUGUUCCGUUCUUCUCCUACUACACGUUUGUCCAGUUCCGCUGUCAGGUGACUAUCAGUGUGUUCGCCAUCAUGGAUCUGAGUUGUAGUAUGGAGCCACUUCUGUAUAUUACCAAGAUGGACAGGCCUGCGUGUGUACCUGGCUGGUGCUGUGCGGGGGAGAGCUCGGCCAAGAAACCCUACGAGGUUAAAGUGUGAUGGGGCUCAUCACUAUCCUGCCAAGUUACAAAGUCAGAAGGCCCAAUCAUUUCUACGAUUCCUCUUCUUAAACUCUGAUUUUAAACCUUAACUUUAACCGAACCUUAACCACACUGCUAACCGUAUGCCUAACCCUAACCUUAAAUUAAGACCAAAAAUAACAUUUCUGUUGGCAGAAAUGUUUACGAUAAAGCCAAUUCUGACUUUGUAGCUUGGCCAUCUACUGGGAACCAUGUGAUGAGGGAGAGAAGAAGAGGCUGGUGGGUGGAGCUAUACGAGGAUGGGUUCAUUGUAAUGGCUGGAAUGGAAUAAAUGGAAUGGACCAUGUGUUUCAUGUGCGUGAUUCUGUUCCAUUUAUUCUAUUCCAACCAUUACAAUGAGCCUGUCCUCCUAUAUCUCUGCCCACCAGCCUCCAGUGGGGUGACCAUCUACCAACUACCAACUCCUGUCCUGGAGAGCCACUGCUGUGCAGGCUUUAGUUCCAGCCCUGCAGUACACAUUAUAUUCAGCCUGCACACUCCUGGCAUGUCUUAAAUUAGGUAGGCCGCAAUACACGCAUUUAGAUAUAUCACAGGGUAAAUGUAUUGUGUGUGGACAUGUAUACUGCUGUAUUGCCAA